rnacentral:rRNA from 1 species
GAUGAACGCUGGCGGCGUGCUUAACACAUGCAAGUCGAACGGAAAGGCCCUGAUUUUGUGGGGUGCUCGAGUGGCGAACGGGUGAGUAACACGUGAGUAACCUGCCCUUGUCUUUGGGAUAUCUUCAGGAAACUGGGGCUAAUACCGGAUAGGAGCUCCUGCUGCGUGGUGGGGGUUGGAAAGUUUCGGCGGUGGGGGAUGGACUCGAGGGUUAUCAGCUUGUUGGUGGGGUAGUGGCUUACAAAGGUUUUGACGGGUAGCCGGCCUGAGAGGUGGACCGGCCACAUUGGGACUGAGAUACGGCCCAGACUCCUACGGGAGGCAGCAGUGGGGAAUAUUGCACAAUGGGCGGAAGCCUGAUGCAGCAACGCUGCGUGCGGGAUGACGGCCUUCGGGUUGUAAACCGCUUUCGCCUGUGACGAAGCGUGAGUGACGGUAAUGGGUAAAGAAGCACCGGCUAACUACGUG